CUGUUAUACUGCUUACUAGAUGUUUUUUUUUUGUGUACACGAUUGUCAAUUGUUAUUUUUUUUUUAUUACAGGUUCAAGAUGACAAUGAUGAGAACAAAAGUGCAAAAGAUAAGCCUUACAUGUACAUCGCAAUACGUGACUGCAGGAUGUAUGAACCGAAAACAUGGACAACAUGUGUUCAGGGCAACACAACUUUUUGAAAUGGAAUAAAGAUAACUUUCCAACCAGACGUUCCACAGUGUGAUCAUGGUGAUGUCAAACAGCAUGGUAAAAAUGAUUAAAAACAAUAUAGUAAGACUCAGCUUAAAGGUGAAAGGAGGAUCCAGUUUUUGACACCCACUUUUUCUUGCCUGUUUUUUCUGGACAGAAAGAAAACCCUCCAUUUAAAUAGAAUGCAGAAAGUGACUGUUAAAUUGUAAAAUUAACAGAACCUACAGAUGGAAACAUGUGUAAAGAAAAAACCUCAUGUAAUCUAUAAAGUAAUUCAACAUCUUGUAGCAGCCUCGUAGAGAUCGUUCCACAGAAGUUAAGGAUGACCAAAGGUGAACAGUUCUAGUUUUCAACAUGAACACAGACAUGUCACACAGAGAUUAAUCUAAACAAGUACAAUUUGAUUAAAAAGAAUUUGUGCUCAUAUACAUGUACGUUGUACAAUUUUGUACCUGUAUAGUGGAAAAAUUACAUGUGCAAUUUAUUACGAACAGAAGACCAACAUAAAAGGGCUAAAUGUUAUAGAUACAUUAUCUGUAAAUUUACAUUAUGUUCAUAAGAACAGCUGCAGUAUCAACAUUUGAACAGUAACAUCAUCCAUUAAAUUUUUGUCAAGCG
rnacentral:lncRNA from 1 species